GAUGAACGCUAGCUACAGGCUUAACACAUGCAAGUCGAGGGGAAACGACAUCGAAAGCUUGCUUUUGAUGGGCGUCGACCGGCGCACGGGUGAGUAACGCGUAUCCAACCUGCCCACCACUUGGGGAUAACCUUGCGAAAGUAAGACUAAUACCCAAUGACGUCCAUAGAAGACAUCUGAAAUGGGUUAAAGAUUUAUCGGUGAUGGAUGGGGAUGCGUCUGAUUAGCUUGUUGGCGGGGUAACGGCCCACCAAGGCGACGAUCAGUAGGGGUGCUGAGAGGAAGGUCCCCCACAUUGGAACUGAGACACGGUCCAAACUCCUACGGGAGGCAGCAGUGAGGAAUAUUGGUCAAUGGGCGAGAGCCUGAACCAGCCAAGUAGCGUGCAGGAUGACGGCCCUAUGGGUUGUAAACUGCUUUUAUAAGGGAAUAAAGUGAGCCUCGUGAGGCUUUUUGCAUGUACCUUAUGAAUAAGGACCGGCUAAUUCCGUGCCAGCAGCCGCAGUAA
rnacentral:rRNA from 1 species